UGCCUCCAUGGGAUCCCUCCUCAUCUGCAAUGGUCAGAGAUGGGGGGGGUGGUGAAGAACUGUCUAGAGUUUGCAGUCAGUCCCCCAGAAUAACAGAAGCACACUUCUAUAUCACUUCAUAGACUUUUUAAUGACUUUAUAGUGUUACCUUGAGUGGCACCAUCACAGACAAUUUAAACAUUUCCAUAGUUUAAGACAUUUUGGAUUCUCCAUUUUGUUUUCUGGGAUACAACACACAGUUUUGUGGGGAGAAAACCUUUCUAUUUGAGCUUACUAAUAAAAUCUUAGUAUAGAAUCACAGAAAUUAAAAGUUUAUAAAAAUUUUGAGGGGAGCCUGAGUGGCUCAGUCAGUUGAGUGUCCACCUCUCGAUUUUGGUUCGGGUCAUGAUCCCAGCAUUGUGGGAUCGAGCCCCACCUUGAGCUCCAUGCUGAGUGUGGAGCCUGCUCGGGGUUCUCUCUCUCUCCCUCUACCCCUCUCCCCCGGACUUGUACGCUCUCUCUCUGACAUAAAAAAAAUAAAUAAGGGGCACCUGGGUGGCUCAGUCAGUUGAGCGUCCGACUUUGGCUCAGGUCAUGAUCUCACGGCUCAUGAGUUCGAGCCCCGCAUUGGGCUCUGAGCCUGGAGCCUGCUUCACAUUUUGGGUCUCUCUCCCUCUCUGCCCCUCUCCUGCUCAUGCUCUCUCUCUCUCUCUCUGUCUCUCAAAAAUAAAAAUAAACAUUAAAAAAUUUUUAAAAGUUUAUAAAUAUUUUUGUUUUUCCUUCAUUAUGUCAAAGCAUUUUGUGAGGUGCUCACGCCCAUUUCAGCCCAGGUCAGUGGUACAAGUGUGCUCAUUUCACUGCCCGGCAAUACUGAAUACUUAAAAAAAAAAUCUCUGCUGAAACAAAAUAAGGAAACUCUCCACCCCCAGCAUUUCGUUGAUAUAAUUGGCAUUCAUUUAAUUGCUAGUAAAGGAAGAGAGGGAGAGACCUAGAGAGAGAGAGAAAUAGAGAUGUUUAUAUACUCACCCAAGUCUAGGAAACGCCCUGUCAUGUUCCUAUCUUCAUUAUUCACAGUGAGCACGCUCUGGCGAUUCCCACAGGAAAGUAACAUGUGCAAUUUUCUUGUGGCGUCAGAGUGUUUUCCCGAUUACUUGGAUCACAGAACACACUCCUUUUUUUUGCAUCGCAUCAAGUUUUGCGUGGCAUCAGCGCCUGGGAACUACCGUUUUGAGGGGUACAUUCCUGGGGAAGUGUUGUCUUGAUAAACUGCGGUAGUUUUUCUUCCUGGGGGGGGGAUUUCAGAGACCACGGAAAGGCGGAGCUUCUGGUGGCUCCUGCAAACACACUCGACUCCAUGAAAGAGGAACGAAACCCGUCAACGAAGAUGUACUACUUCUCUUUCAUCCAGCCUGUUCACUUUGCAGUGAGAACCUCAAGAGCUCUCCCAGGCUUCGUUUUAAGGGAUGCAUUCUUUGCUGCGAAUAGCAGGCUGGCGAUUCUCUCCUCUCCUCUUCGCGGCUCUACAGCCGGAGGUAGCUGACGGUGGUGCAGAGUCGAGGGGGCUGGCCGUGUGCUGGGACUUUGCUGCUGCAGGCGUGCUCUGCGGAUGAACAGCUUGUGUCCCAAGCAUCUUUCUGCUCCAAGACCUUGGCAUCCAUCUUCAAGACCACCUCAUGAUCCAAAAUGGCUACUUUAGCUCUGUGCAUCAUAUCCUUAUUCCAAGCCACAGACGGAUAAAACAGGUAAGUCAUCUUAGUUGAGUCAGCUCCCCUUGAAGAGUCUUUCAAGCAAUGUUUUCUAUAAGAUAUUUGUGUAGUAGACAAUAGGGUAUUUAAAAAGUAGGAAAACUUGUAGGUCAUUUACUCUAUUGUUUCCCAACCUUUAUACAUUUUGAUUUCUCUUUCAUGAUUUUUACUAUACUUCAAUGUCAUCCAUCCAAGCAAUUACUUCAUAGUCAAUCAUGUAGUGAAAAAGUUAUUUCCCUACAUUUCAUACCAUCUAUAUGAUUUUUACAUAAUGUGUUCUUAAAUCAACUUACUUUUUAAAACUUAAAUAUGUAUAUUUAGAAAUAAAAAUUUCAGGGGUGCCAGGGUGGCUUAGUCGGUUGAGGGUACGACUCUUGACUUCAGCUCAGGUCAUGAUCCUGGGGUUGUAGGAUUGAGCUCUGUGCUGAGUGUGGAUCCUGCUUAAGAUUCUCUCCCUCUCUCUCUGCCUCUCUCCCUUGCCCUCUUUCUCUCUAAAAAAAUAAAAUUAAAAAAUGAAGAUUAGCAAACCACAGAUUAUGGAUAUCUCCUGAAUGAAACAGAAGGAUUGCAAAGAGAGUAGCUUUCCCUUACACUAUUCAAUAUAAUUUAAUGUCCUGUGUACCACCUAACUCAUCUCAAUUUACUAGAAGUCUGUGAUAUACAUUUUGGGACACACUGGUGCAUUCUGUUGACCAGUGAGAAAGCCAAUUUCCCAGAGGCCCAGUGUGAUUCUCUGUUUGCCUCUUGGGAUUCUCAUAUGCUUAUAAAGACUUUAUUGCCUGACACCACAUUCAGCUGGUUUAGGGUCUCUAUCUGCCUGCUAGACUGUGAGCUCUGAGAAGGCCAAAACAGAUGGGUCUGUGAUCCCUGGGGCAAAGCCCAGGGUCUGCCCAGAGUCAGUGCACUUAGUGGGCUGGAGCAAAUGGAAUUGUCCAAGAACAUGCAGCUCGUGUGCAAGGAUGAAACCAGGGUCCAUAUCUUCUGGGAGCUCAACAAACAGUGCUUUCAAGUCAGGUUUCUAGAGAGAAGGAUCAAUUUGGUUCCAGGGAAAGAGAUCAGAAAGAUUUAAAAUAGAGUGCUGCUUUUUAUUUUUAAAAAUCAAGGUUACUCUUGCUUUUUUUCCCAUGAUAUAUUCCUGUGUGUAUAAUAGUAGGUUAAAAACCCAUAGUGACUCAAGGUAGAAAUCUCAAAGAAAGGUCAUUCAAUAAAGUGGUUGUUGGUGGUGAUGGCAGUAAUAGGAAGAAUAGCUUCCAUUUAUUGAGCAUUUUCUAGAUACCAAACACAAUCCUAAGCGCUUGAAUUUUCUCACCGGUCAGAUAAUUAUUAUUCCCAUUUCAUCAGAGAAAACUGAAGUAUAGAGUGGUCUUUAGUGAGCACAUGAGAUACAACAGCCAGUAAGUGAUGAGAAAGUCUUCAUUAGAUGUGUGUACUUCUUCAGAUCCUCUAGGCCUCACCUGAGUUUUGGUCCAGGGGUUACUAUAGUAACCAGCUCAGCACCAGUUCCACCAACUUCCGGCAGGUGGGAUCUGCCAGUACCUCACCCUGGGCACCCUCUGUAGUGUGCUUGUUGUCUCCUGUCCUGGGACCGCUCUGUGGCUUUGAAUCCACGGUACCCCUAGUCACCUGGGCAUACAUAGCUCAGAACUGGGGAAUUAACGCCGCAUAGGGCAAACGUUCGACUUGUGCGAGAGGGAAACAGACGGAUUGAUGUUCCUCCACCUCUUUUACUCCCUGGGAUAGGCUGUGCGGUGCUCAUAUUUUAUAUUUUCUUGGAGGACAGUCUCUCAGUGUCAGACAACCAGUUGUACCUGUGGCAGCCAACUUGAGAAAGUAUUUUUAAUUGGCCCACCCUCCUAUUUUCUCCCUUUUCUUUCACUCUGCUCUCUUAGAUCAUAAUAAAGAAAUGUCGCGUAGACCCUUACUUUUGGCUCUUCUUUCUAUGGAACACAGUUUGAAUCAACCCAGAUCUGUCUGAUUCUGAAGCCCAUGCCCAGGACACUGAGUUAUAUUGGUUCUAUGUAUGAAUUUUCAAGAUAGGCUAACUUCCUGGUGAGAAGCCCAUGCUUUUGGUAUCUUGAUGAUCUGGUACUUCCUUCUCCCCACUCUCUGUCUCAAAUAUUGAGUGUAUUAUGAGUUCUUGAGUGUAUCUUGAGUUCUUUGUAUUAUGUUCUGUUGUUUUCAGCCCUUUGCACUUGCUUUCUCAUUGGCGCAUGCUAUCCUUCUCCUUUCUUCUGUAUUCCUUUCUGCUUCCUUUUCUGGCUAACACUCAUUUUUAGAAUUCAGUCUCAAUGGCUUUUUCUGAUUCCCCUGGUCCCCUCAGUCUUCCCUCAGUGUGGAUUAGCUCUUUGUUUCCUAUACUUUACUUUUAUAUGCCUACCUUCAUGUCAUUAUCUGUUCUUCCAGGAGUCCCCAGCUCUUUGAAGAUCAGGGUGGUGUCCCAUUGACUUUUCUGUCUGUCAUGAGCAUGGAACCUUCCACAGGGUCUCAGCUAAGUGAAGGUGAUGGUGGAAUGAUCAAGGGCACAGGAGUGUUGUCAGGUGGACCUGGGGCUUCAGUCCUGCUCUGACACUUAUAGCCAUGGACUUCCAAGCACAUUGCCUGACAAUUGUGACAUUCAGCUUCCUAAUCUGUAAAAAGGGGGGAAGAAAAACAUAGCAGCUAUGAUGUUGGGUUCUUAUAAGGAUUAAAUGACAUAAAACAUAUUGAAUUUAGUAAGACAAAAAUAAAUGUAAGUUAUUUUAUCAACAAUAAGGUAAUUCAUUAUUCCUUCCAAAAAGGUGAGAAAGUAGAGAAGUUAGAUUAAUUGUCACCCACAUCUAAACACAGCUUUAGUGAGUGCCCUCGAGUCUUUAGGAGACUCUGAGUCUUGGCUCAGGCCACAAAAGCUUACAAGCUAAGUUUGGUCUAGUUUUACUAGGUACCCACCUUGUGCUAGGCACUGUCUGCAGGGCUGGGGCAUUAGAAAUGGUAAUACUUGGGGACUAUCCUCAGCAAGUUCAAAGUCUAGCAAGGUUAUGACCUCAAAGUCUGUGAUCUUCUAUUAUGACCACAUUAUCUCCCAUCUUGAGCAUAAAUGCAUUCAUUCCUUCAACAAAGUAUUGUGCAUGUACUAUGUACCCAGCCCUAGCUAGGUGGCAGGGACAGAGCAGUGAAUUUAUACUUUUAUUUUUUGAAGUUUAUCUACACUGGGAAAGAUAGACAAACAGCACACAAAGAAAAGAAAAUAACCAGGAGAAAAAAAGCAGAUGUUAAACCAGUGGACAAGAGAAUUCCAGAAAGAGACAUCAGAUUGUGCCAAAGGAUGGAAAUGUGGAUAGCAUGGCAUGAUCUGAGACCAGGAGUCUGCUGGUGAUAUCACGGGGUAGGGAGAUGGGUGAGGCUGGAGAGACAAGCUGGGACAGAGUGCCAAGGGCUGUCCUGCUAGUCAGGAUUCUUUUUCAUCACAGAAACCCAACCAGAGGAGUAAAAUGGGGGUGGGUUUAUGUGGCAUAGCUUGUGCGUGGGCAAGAAAGGGCUUGGCCCCAGAGAAACUGGACCCGAGGUUAAAGGCAUCUUAUUGCCAAGACGGAAUUUCCUCAUGUGAUAAGGAACAUGGUCAUAUAUAAGUUUAGGUUUAUUUCUUUGCUACCUAAUGGCUUUAAGUAAAAGGAACUCCUCUGUUAAAAAAGAAUAAGUCCCAGGGAACACCAGUUGGCUUUGUUUGAGUCAUGUGACCUUCCUGGAUCACUAGUCACAGUGACCAGGACAUGAGAACAUCUGGUUGGCUCUACUUGCCAGCCUUAUGUUUGGUGGGGUCAGGGUCUGUUUACAAAAGGAGAAGAAGGUAUCCUACCCAUACCCAAACCAAAUAAUACCCCAAAGCCUUGAAUUCGACACCAGGGAGUUUGGGUUGCAUCUGAGGGUGGCAGAAAUCGUUUUCAGGUUUUAAGUUAGAAGAUGAAACGGUCAGAUGUAUGUUUAGAAAGAGCAGCCCAGGCAUAGGGUAGAAAGAUGGUUGAGUAGGUGGAGCAGAUGGAAGCCCGGAAGACCUAUUGUGAUACUGAUGUCAUAAUGCCACAGUCCAAGUAAGGCCCUAGAACAGGGGCUGUGCACAAGGUUGUUGGGAGUGUGGGUGGAUGAAGGAGAGAACACAGGGGAUGGAUAUUCCAUUCCAGGUUCCAGCUGGAGACAGAUGAGAAAGCACUGGCCACUGCUGUGUGAAUUGUUGUCAAGGCGAAUUGCUGAUAAGGUCUUUCUAGAAGAAGUUAUUCUGGCUUAGCAGCUGGCCAGUAUCCUAGACUUACUUAUUCUUUUACCAAAGCUAAAUUGGAGCAAGGUGCAGAAAACCUGCUUUUCUGACUGGGAUGAUAGGAUUUCAAUUUAACAAAUACUGAGCACCCACCAUGUGCCAUGCCUAAGGCUUAUUUAUUUUUUGAGGUGAAUAAGACAAGUCUCUACCAGAAAAGUACAACAUGGUAAUCCUAUAAUCUUUACCAUAGGACUAUGGGGUAGCAUGGAAAAUAUCCUGACCUCCAUUACACACUUCCUUGGAGAAGUGAACUGACUUUCUCAGUUCCCAUAGGAGACUUCUCCUCACUUUGGUACACUUUAAUGUGAAACCCAUGAGUUCUGGCUCUUUUCUAUACCACAGGAACUAAGGGACUCCCUCAGGCAGCUGUGGGCUGAUAAAGGUUGAACAACAGACUCUCUAAGCAGUGUUUGCUGGUCAUCAGUGUGAAUACUCUCACCAUAGCUGGUUUCGUCAGUCUUGUCUGAAUGUCGACAUGGAAAGAGAUGCACACAAGGAGUCUCUUGAAUCUGAGGAUUCAGUGGUCUCAUCAGCCAGACUGCAGCCUGCACCCUGGAGGGGAAGGUAGAAACUCCAUCUUCUUGGAGUUUGGUUUGCGUGGUCUGUCUGGGUUGAAUUGUGUCCCCCACAAAAGACACGUUAAUUUCCUAACCUC